rnacentral:rRNA from 1 species
GAUGAACGCUGGCGGCGUGCCUAAUACAUGCAAGUCGAGCGAACGGACGAGAAGCUUGCUUCUCUGAUGUUAGCGGCGGACGGGUGAGUAACACGUGGAUAACCUACCUAUAAGACUGGGAUAACUUCGGGAAACCGGAGCUAAUACCGGACAAUAUUUUGAACCGCAUGGUUCAAAAGUGAAAAACGGUCUUGCUGUCACUUAUAGAUGGAUCCGCGCUGCAUUAGCUAGUUGGUAAGGUAACGGCUUACCAAGGCAACGAUGCAUAGCCGACCUGAGAGGGUGAUCGGCCACACUGGAACUGAGACACGGUCCAGACUCCUACGGGAGGCAGCAGUAGGGAAUCUUCCGCAAUGGGCGAAAGCCUGACGGAGCAACGCCGCGUGAGUGAUGAAGGUCUUCGGAUCGUAAAACUCUGUUAUUAGGGAAGAACAUAUGUGUAAGUAACUGUGCACAUCUUGACGGUACCUAAUCAGAAAGCCACGGCUAACUACGUG